GCUGGAGUUGGGUAUUUCCCUUCUCCCAGUUCAGUUAGGCUCUGAUAAUACCUCAGCAGGUUAGGUUCUGGUUAACUAGUUUCUCCUGAGGGCAGGCCUUGUUAAGAAGAACAGAAUGCUCUAGCGUAUUUCAAAAUGGUUCCUUUCGCCUCCUCCUGCCAGAAGCACAGAGGGAUUUGUCUCUGAUAUUCACCGUGAGAACAUGGCCAAAAUCCUGCAGAGCAACAUCAACCCAUAUGGAGCUGCUCAUUAGCCUGGAUUCUGGACUCAAGAUACUGAAGAGCUGAGUGCCAGCUGAUCUAUAAUGGGCAUGCAAUAAAUGAUCCAGAAGAGAGAAUAGACAAUCAUGCAAGAGAAAGAAGCAAUCACAGAAAUGGCUUGUGUAGGAGAGAAGAGAUGGAAUCUA
rnacentral:lncRNA from 1 species